AUUCAGCUGACGAGUCUCAAAUAGGACAAAAUGCGCUUACUGGAU
rfam:Schistosoma mattheei strain Denwood, Zambia genome assembly, scaffold: SMTD_scaffold0003585